rnacentral:rRNA from 1 species
GACGAACGCUGGUGGCGUGCUUAACACAUGCAAGUCGAACGAAAGAGUUAAGACGGAAAUCUUCGGAUUGAAGACUUAACAAUUUAGUGGCGAACGGGUGAGUAACACGUGAGAAACCUGCCUAUCACAAGGGGAUAGCCUCCGGAAACGGUGAUUAAUACCCUAUGAGAUCACAUAAUCGCAUGAUUGAGUGGUUAAAGAUUUAUCGGUGAUAGAUGGUCUUGCGGCUGAUUAGCUAGUUGGUGAGAUAAAAGCUCACCAAGGCAACGAUCAGUAUCCGGCUUGAGAGGGUGAACGGACACACUGGAACUGAGACACGGUCCAGACUCCUACGGGAGGCAGCAGUGGGGAAUUUUGCACAAUGGGGGGAACCCUGAUGCAGCGACGUCGCGUGAACGAAGAAGGCCUUCGGGUUGUAAAGUUCUGUCCUAAAUGAAGAUAAUGACAGUAG